UCUGACUCAAACACAUCCCACUCUUGUAACACCCCUAACUCAUAUCCGUCACCGGAUUAGGGUCCGGAGGCAUUAUUGGACAAAAACACAGCUUUGCACUUUUACUCAAGUCAUAUUCUCAUGUAUAUACAAUAUUCAAUUGAGUAUUAAUCAUGAUUUAUCAUUAAAUAAUAUACAAUCACAUCAACACUCGAAAUUUAAUCAUAUGAUCUCUAC
rnacentral:lncRNA from 1 species